rnacentral:rRNA from 1 species
UACGUAGGGCGCAAGCGUUGUCCGGAAUUAUUGGGCGUAAAGAGCUCGUAGGCGGUCUGUCGCGUCGGCUGUGGAAAACCCGAGGCUCAACCUCGGGCCUGCAGUCGAUACGGGCAAACUAGAGUACUGCAGGGGAGACUGGAAUUCCUGGUGUAGCGGUGAAAUGCGCAGAUAUCAGGAGGAACACCGGUGGCGAAGGCGGGUCUCUGGGCCGUAACUGACG